rnacentral:lncRNA from 1 species
GGAGACUUGGUUACAUACAAAGAUAAGAACUUUAUUAAUUAACUAAAACACUUCAGAUCGUUUCUUUAUUCGCAGCAACUACAAUCAAGUUACAACUCAUAAAAGCAAAAGUUCAAAAUAAACAUCCAUACCACAAGAGGGAGGCUCGACCAUGAGAUAAGUAAGGAGGGGAUGAGUUUUGAUUCAAGGAAGACAUCCAUCCUACCUUAAGAAAACUCCAAAUGACCCCAAGUUGAACAUUCAACAAUAACCAUGAAUAAAACCAAACAUAUCAUGACCAAUCAUUUUUAAAACCUUAAGCAACUGCGUAUGAAGACAUAAAAGUAAUGCAUCAAAAGGAGGUUUAGAAAGUAAAGAUACAAGUUUUAGAAGAUUAAAUGAAU